rnacentral:tRNA from 1 species
GCGCCUGUAACUCAGUGGAUAGAGCGCUUGUUUCCUAAGCUGAAGGUCGUAGGUUUGACCCCUACCUAGCGCG